UUCCGGUUGAUCCUGCCGAAGGCUACUGCUAUUGGAGUUCGAUUAAGCCAUGCGAGUCUAAGGGAUCUUCGGAUCCCUGGCGUAAUGCUCAGUAACACGUGGAUAAUCUACCCUCAGGUGGGGCAUAAACCCGGGAAACUGGGGCCAAUUCCCCAUAGAUACAGAUGGCUGGAAUGCUUCUGUAUUCAAAGCUCCGGCGCCUGAGGAUGGGUCUGCGGCCUAUCAGGUUGUAGUCAGGGUCAAGACCUGACUAGCCAGCGACGGGUAUGGGGUGUGAGAGCACUUGCCCAGAGAUGGUUUCUGAGACACGAAACCAGGCCCUACGGGGCGCAGCAGGCGCGAAAACUUCGCAAUGCGGGAAACCGUGACGAGGGAACUCCAAGUGUCUAUGCAUUGCAUAGACUGUUUUUUAGCCUAAAAAGCUAUUAGAGUAAGGGGUGGGCAAGACCGGUGCCAGCCGCCGCGGUAACACCGGCACCUCGAGUGGUAGCCACUAUUAUUGGGCCUAAAGCGUUCGUAGCCGGUUUGGUAAAUUCUUGGGUAAAUCGUACCGCUUAACGGUGCGGAUUCCGGGGACACUACCAGACUUGAGACCGGGGGAGAUCAGAGGUACUUGCGGGGGAGCGGUGAAAUGUUGUAAUCCUGCAGGGACCACCAGUGGCGAAGGCGUCUGAUCAGAACGGCUCUGACGGUGAGGAACGAAACCCUGGGGCGCAAACGGGAUUAGAUACCCCGGUAGUCCAGGGCGUAAACGCUGCUGACUUGGUGUUGGGGAUCCUACGAGGAUGUCCAGUGCUGGCGCGAAGGUAUUAAGUCAGCCGCCUGGGGAGUACGGUCGCAAGGCUGAAACUUAAAGGAAUUGGCGGGGGAGCACCGCAACCUGAGGAUUGUGCGGUUUAAUUGGAUUCAACGCCGG
rnacentral:rRNA from 1 species